rnacentral:rRNA from 1 species
GGCUACUGCCAUCAGGAGUUCGAGUUAAGCCAUGUUAGUCGAGGGUGCUUCUUCUUCGGAAGAUGUAACCCGGCGGACGGCUCAGUAACACGUGAUAACUUGCCCUUGGGUCCGGGAUAACCCCUGAGAAAUUGGGGACAAUACCGGAUAGGGCAUCGAUUGCUGGAAUGCACGAUGUCCAAAAGCUGAGGCGCCCAAGGAUAGGUCUGCGGCCGAUUAGGUUGUUGUUGAUGUAAUGGAUCAACAAGCCUGCAAUCGGUACGGGUUGUGAGAGCAAGAGCCCGGAGAUGGGUUCUGAGAAAAGAACCCAGGUCCUACGGGACGCAUCAGGCGCGAAAACUUUACAAUGUGCGAAAGCACGAUAAGGGAACUCUGAGUGCCUCCUAUGGAGGCUGUUCAGGUGUCUAAAAAGCACUUGAAGUAAGGGCUGGGUAAGACCGGUGCCAGCCGCCGCGGUAACACCGGCAGCCCAAGUGGUAGCCACGCUUAUUGGGUCUAAAGCGUCCGUAGCCGGCCAGGUAAGUUCUUUGGGAAAUUUAACCGCUCAACGGUUAAGCUUUCAGGGAAUACUGCUUGGCUUGGGACCGGGAGAGGUCAGAGGUACUUCAAGGGUAGGGGUGAAAUCCGUUAAUCCUUGAGGGACCACCAGUAGCGAAGGCGUCUGACCAGACCGGGUCCGACGGUGAGGGACGAAGGCUAGGGUCGCGAACCGGAUUAGAUACCCGGGUAGUCCUAGCUGUAAACGAUGCGGGCCAGGUGUUGGCAUUACUGCGAGUGAUGUCAGUGCCGAAGGGAAGCCGUUAAGCCCGCCAUCUGGGGAGUACGGUCGCAAGGCUGAAGCUUAAAGGAAUUGGCGGGGGAGCACCACAACGGGUGGAGCCUGCGGUUC